rnacentral:sRNA from 1 species
GCAUAAAAAAAGCCCGAAACUAUGUCCAUGUUUCGGGCUCAGGGGAAUGGCUCUCGGUGAGAGCCGUGCGCUAAUGAAACUCGGCGGUGCUUGUGCAUAAAAUGUGCAAAACCUGUGUUUUAGGGUAGAACAAGGCCGCUUAUUUUGCCCGCCG